rnacentral:rRNA from 1 species
CCUACGGGGGGCAGCAGUGGGGAAUAUUGCACAAUGGGCGCAAGCCUGAUGCAGCCAUGCCGCGUGUGUGAAGAAGGCCUUCGGGUUGUAAAGCACUUUCAGCGGGGAGGAAGGCGGUGAGGUUAAUAACCUCAUCGAUUGACGUUACCCGCAGAAGAAGCACCGGCUAACUCCGUGCCAGCAGCCGCGGUAAUACGGAGGGUGCAAGCGUUAAUCGGAAUUACUGGGCGUAAAGCGCACGCAGGCGGUCUGUCAAGUCGGAUGUGAAAUCCCCGGGCUCAACCUGGGAACUGCAUUCGAAACUGGCAGGCUAGAGUCUUGUAGAGGGGGGUAGAAUUCCAGGUGUAGCGGUGAAAUGCGUAGAGAUUUGGAGGAAUACCGGUGGCGAAGGCGGCCCCCUGGACAAAGACUGACGCUCAGGUGCGAAAGCGUGGGGAGCAAACAGGAUUAGAUACCCCGGUAGUC